UGCGUAGGCGGGCCGAUAAGUCGGAUGUGAAAUCCCACAGCUUAACUGUGGGUCGCCAUUCGAAACUGUCGGUCUUGAGUGCAGGAGAGGAGAGUGGAAUUCCUGGUGUAGCGGUGAAAUGCGUAGAUAUCAGGAGGAACACCGGUGGCGAAGGCGGCUCUCUGGACUGACACUGACGCUGAGGCACGAAGGCCGGGGGAGCAAACA
rnacentral:rRNA from 1 species